rnacentral:rRNA from 1 species
UACGUAGGGUGCGAGCGUUACUCGGAAUUACUGGGCGUAAAGCGUGCGCAGGCGGCGCGUUAAGACAGGUGUGAAGGCCCCGAGCUUAACUUGGGAAUUGCGCUUGUGACUGGCGUGCUGGAGUGUGGCAGAGGGAGGUGGAAUUCCACGUGUAGCAGUGAAAUGCGUAGAGAUGUGGAGGAACACCGAUGGCGAAGGCAGCCUCCUGGGCCAGCACUGACGCUCAUGCACGAAAGCGUGGGGAGCAAACAGG